UGGAAAGGAAAUGAGGAGUGACCUCACCUCCCUGCGUCUCCCUGGGGAGGAAUCAGGAGUCCUGCCCCCCAUCCCCACAGUCUACCCGUCCCACCGGGGCCUGCUGCCCUCCUACACCGGCCAUGUUCCAGGACACAAGUUCAGGUACGGCCAGACCUUUGGGCAGCUUACCCACAAUGCCCUGGGGCUAAGCGGCACUCAGAAGAUAGAGGCCAGAGCUCAGUAACGGAGGAUCUCGACUGGUGCCAAAAUGAGCCAUGAUCAAAUCCACUGCCAAGCUCACAGAUUUCAGCAGACCUGGAGAAACAUGGAAAGAAGCAAUCAGGAGUUAGCUCAUUUCAUAUUCUGUGCCAUGCAGGGGGGUUAUCAAAAUGCCUGAGGGACUGACAUAAAACAGAUUUGAUUCAUUAACCAGAAACAUCAGACACUGAAUAAAAAGGGUGUAUAUACAGAACCACAUGGGAACAUCCAUGAUUCAUCUCCCUUCCAUCUUGCUCUGGCUCUCUCUAAAAUGUCAGGGUACAUUCUUAAUGCAUAUUGAAUCUGCCUACCAUGCUCUCCCCUGUCAAACGGACAGUACAUCACUGUUCAAGCUUUGCUUUCACAAGACAAUGUGCAUACAAGCAUGGGAUUGACAUUUACAUUGUUUGGUUAUAAUCAUGUGUGUCUGUAUUGUGACACUAAAAUAACAUAUCUGUGAA